CGUCUGCCCAGCGAGAGGAAUUUCCCAGAAUGCACUUGUCAUUACCUAAGAAGUACACAGUCGUGUCGCCGUUUGACAAAUGCUCUGCUCUCACAGCGGCUCCCUUUCACUAUAUAGUCUGCUGUUCUACUCGGGUUUAACGCUAUUUCUGCUGUCUGUAGAUGAAAAGAUCUUUCCCUUUUCCUCACACAACUGCGUGACCACUAGAUGGACCUCAUUCCUUAUAAACCACAGCUUCACCCUCGUGCUCAGCAGCGCUCUGUGGCUUUGCCUGUUAUUGAUCCCAUAGUUCAGCUGUAAUUUCCCACAAUCUUUGGCCUCUAACAGUUUUAAAGCUACCUUUUUCAUAGGUCUUUAUCUUUAUAGUUUCAAGAAGGCUUGGAGAAGGUCUUAAAAACCUUCCAGCAUUCUUCAGCGUGCGCUCGAGUUUGCCAUAGGCCAGGAUGGCUGCCCGUCUUCUCCGAUCCAUGGCCCCACGUGCAUCCAUAGCCCUGCUCCAAUGCAGUCGUUCCCAUAAGUCCGCAAGGCUGCUCCUAGCACUGAUUUCACCCGCUACGCUAGGUACUGUAACCAAUGUGGUUAGGAUAUAUAAUGUGCUAUAUUUAAAUACUAGAUUGUUGUGUUGUGCAUUGGUUUGCAAUUGUUUUUUGUAGUACAGCUGAUAUAAACAAAGUUGCUAAUGUGUAUAAGUAUAAAUUUAAUUAUAAGGUUAGUUUCCCUUUAUGGCCCACAGACACACAACUGACGUGCUACAGCCAUAGAAACCGCUGAUAAGCUCGGUGUAUGGCAGCUUUUUUUUUUUUAUCUGUUUUCUAUGCAAAAUGCUUCUGCACUUUUUUCUGUCUUCUCAAGGCUCUGAAUUCUAAAACUAGUAAUCCAGCUCAUUAAACUUGACAUAAAAUAUAUGUUGGUUCCACUAAUGAAGUUCUCUGACCUUUUAAUCACUUCUCAAAAAUGUCAAAUAAUAUUUUUUUCCCCAUUAAUCUCUCUUCACUGCUUAAAAUGUAUUUAUGGAAGCCUGAAA
rnacentral:lncRNA from 1 species